AAUAUUGCACAAUGGGGGAAACCCUGAUGCAGCGACGCCGCGUGAGUGAAGAAGUAUUUCGGUAUGUAAAGCUCUAUCAGCAGGGAAGAGAAUGACGGUACCUGACUAAGAAGCCCCGGCUAACUACGUGCCAGCAGCCGCGGUAAUACGUAGGGGGCAAGCGUUAUCCGGAUUUACUGGGUGUAAAGGGAGCGUAGACGGCAUAGCAAGUCUGAAGUGAAAUACCCGGGCUCAACCUGGGAACUGCUUUGGAAACUGUUAAGCUGGAGUGCUGGAGAGGCAAGCGGAAUUCCUAGUGUAGCGGUGAAAUGCGUAGAUAUUAGGAGGAACACCAGUGGCGAAGGCGGCUUGCUGGACAGUAACUGACGUUGAGGCUCGAAAGCGUGGGGAGCAAACAG
rnacentral:rRNA from 1 species